GCACCAUUGGUCUAGUGGUCUAAGAUACCCGCCUGUCACGCGGGAGAUCAGGGGUUCGAAUCCCCUAUGGUGCG
rnacentral:tRNA from 1 species